UUACAGUAACGACUUCUAUGAGGACAUUAAACCGGAUGUGAGUGAGAAAUUCGACACUUCAGAUUUUCAAGAGAAUAACAUUUAUAAUUUACCAAGGGUAAAUAAAAAAGUUGUGGGGGUGAUGAAGGAUGAGGUCAAAGGAAGAAUAAUAACCGAAUUUGUAGGGCUGAGAUCUAAGAUGUACGCCUACGCAUUGGAGUCCUAUAGCGAUGAUACAAAACAAUGUGAGGAUGAUUAUGAUGAUGAUGAUGAUGAAGUGCCUGCGAAGAAAAAGAAAGACGAUGUACAAUGUGUGAAAAAAAGUAAAGGUGUUAGCGCUGCAGUCGUCGCUAGGAUACAUUUCCAACAGUAUAGAGAGUGUUUAAAUCUAAGUAAAGAAUUUCAUGAUGAUAUGUAUAAUAUUAUAAGCGAUCACCAUAAUGUUUAUACUAGAAUAGUAAGGAAAAAAAUAUUAAGCGGUCUAGACGAUAAAAGGUUUAUCACACCCGAUCGCGUAGACACUCUACCUUGGGGUCAUUAUAGUUUAGAAAUAAAUGAUAUUUAUUAAACAAUCACUUGUUUUUUUUUAUUUCCAGACAAUACCCCCCUUAUAAUACAGCGGGCUUAGCAUGGUAGCGUGACAAGGCCGUGAUAGGGCGAAAUCGUGAUAGUUAUCCACAUCUGACAGCGGUAGAUGACAGAAUGACAGCGUUAGAUGACAGAAUGACAGCGGUAGACGACAGAAUGACAGCGGUAGACGACAGAAUGACAGCGGUAGAUGACAGAAUGACAGCGGUAGAUGACAGAAUGACAGCGGUAGAUGACAGGAGCUUGACAGACGACAAUUUGCAUAACAUAGUCGUUGCCGUCGUUGAUAAUUUGACACAUUGUCCCAUUUUGACAGUUCAACUUCGUUAAUUCUAUCUACGUGCUUCUUAGGUGACGAUAAGCCUUGUCGUGAAAGCAAAAUUAUUGAAUAAACCAAUUUUAAGGUAUAAAUUACGGGUAAAUAUCAGUUUUUCUAUGAUAUUGAGUUAUUAGUUACAAUGUUCCGCUGUAUAUAUAUAUUGUCAAUUUUUUCUUUGCAGGAAAGUCAAAUUUUAUUAUUCCUACUCGCGGAUGCUGUUAAAGAAAAAGAGCGUCUAAAAAUCUCGUGCAUAGCUUUAUCAAGACACUCUUACAACCCGUCUGAUAUGCCAGACGAAGAAUUUCGGGCAUUUCGCAUAUUUACAGUUAUGUGCCGAACUUAACGCCGAGCCUCAAAAGUCAAAACGGUGAUGGAUUACUAAAACACCUAAAGGUUCUAACAGGUGUAAUAACACCUGCUAGCUGAUGGCAACUAGUCCAUUGGUCAGACUACUGUGAGCCAGUAGCUAUUGAAGCAAUUUGUAAUAGCUGUAAAUAGAAGAAAACUUCUCUUGGAUCAAGGGAGAAAUUAAGGAAGGCGCUCCUCAAGGACUUCCUAAGCAUCAUGCACAAAACCGGCUGUUACUAAGAGUGUGCGCUUGCGAGUUGCUAGCGAGCUUAAUAAAUACA